rnacentral:rRNA from 1 species
AUUGAACGCUGGCGGCAGGCCUAACACAUGCAAGUCGAACGGUAACAGGAAGAAGCUUGUUUCUUUGCUGACGAGUGGCGGACGGGUGAGUAAUGACUGGGAAACUGCCUGAUGGAGGGGGAUAACUACUGGAAACGGUAGCUAAUACCGCAUAAUGUCGCAAGCCCAAAGAGGGGGACCUUCGGGCCUCUUGCCAUCGGAUGUGCCCAGAUGGGAUUAGCUAGUAGGUGGGGUAACGGCUCACCUAGGCGACGAUCCCUAGCUGGUCUGAGAGGAUGACCAGCCACACUGGAACUGAGACACGGUCCAGACUCCUACGGGAGGCAGCAGUGGGGAAUAUUGCACAAUGGGCGCAAGCCUGAUGCAGCUAUGCCGCGUGUAUGAAGAAGGCCUUCGGGUUGUAUAGUACUUUCAGCGGGGAGGAAGGGAGUAAAGUUAAUACCUUUGCUCAUUGACGUUACCCGCAGAAGAAGCACCGGCUAACUCCGUG